GACGAACGCUGGCGGCGUGCUUAACACAUGCAAGUCGAACGAAGAGCGAUGGAAGCUUGCUUCUAUCAAUCUUAGUGGCGAACGGGUGAGUAACGCGUAAUCAACCUGCCCUUCAGAGGGGGACAACAGUUGGAAACGACUGCUAAUACCGCAUACGAUCUAAUCUCGGCAUCGAGGAUAGAUGAAAGGUGGCCUCUACAUGUAAGCUAUCACUGAAGGAGGGGAUUGCGUCUGAUUAGCUAGUUGGAGGGGUAACGGCCCACCAAGGCGAUGAUCAGUAGACGGUCUGAGAGGAUGAACGGCCACAUUGGGACUGAGACACGGCCCAGACUCCUACGGGAGGCAGCAGUGGGGAAUCUUCCGCAAUGGACGAAAGUCUGACGGAGCAACGCCGCGGGAGUGAUGACGGCCUUCGGGUUGUAAAGCUCUGUUAAUCGGGACGAAAGGCCUUCUUGCGAAUAGUGAGAAGGAUUGACGGUACCGGAAGAGAAAGCCACGGCUAACUACGUG
rnacentral:rRNA from 1 species